rnacentral:rRNA from 1 species
UACAGAGUUCCUGCCCUCACGGGUAGAAACCCCACCCUUGUGUAUACUAUAUUGUUGCUUUAGCAGGCCGCCCUCGGGCGUCGGCUCACGCUGACCGUGCCUGCUAGAGGACCCUAAACUCUGAAAUACAGUGUCGUCUGAGUACUAUUUAAUAGUUAAAACUUUCAACAACGGAUCUCUUGGUUCUGGCAUCGAUGAAGAACGCAGCGAAAUGCGAUAAGUAAUGUGAAUUGCAGAAUUCAGUGAAUCAUCGAAUCUUUGAACGCACAUUGCGCCCCUUGGUAUUCCGAGGGGCAUGCCUGUUCGAGCGUCAUUUAUACCAACUCCUCUCUAUAGAGGGUCUUGGACUUCGCCUCCGGGCGGGUCUUAAAAUCAGUGGCGGUGCCUUGAGGCUCUACGCGUAGUAAUACACCCCGCGAUAGAACCCUUAGGGUAUCUUGCCAGCAACCCCCAACUUUCUAGGUUGA